rnacentral:rRNA from 1 species
CAGCAGCCGCGGUAAUACGAAGGGUGCAAGCGUUACUCGGAAUUACUGGGCGUAAAGCGUGCGUAGGCGGUCUGUUAAGUCCGUUGUGAAAGCCCUGGGCUCAACCUGGGAAUUGCAGUGGAUACUGGCGGGUUAGAGUGCGGUAGAGGAUGGUGGAAUUCCCGGUGUAGCGGUGAAAUGCGUAGAGAUCGGGAGGAACACCCGUGGCGAAGGCGGCCAUCUGGACCAGCACUGACGCUGAGGCACGAAAGCGUGGGGAGCAAACAGGAUUAGAUACCCUGGUAGUCCACGCCGUAAACGAUGUCGACUAGCCGUUGGGAUCCUUGAGAUCUUAGUGGCGCAGCUAACGCAUUAAGUCGACCGCCUGGGGAGUACGGCCGCAAGGUUAAAACUCAAAGGA